UCACAGAAUAGGGAAUAGACAGAGACUGG
rnacentral:piRNA from 1 species